rnacentral:lncRNA from 10 species
GAAGGCUUUCUGGAGGAGGUGUCUUUGGGCUGGGUCUGGUGGGGGCUGGGAUAGACCUCAUGGGAGGAAGUAAGGUCAGAGCUGGGAGAAGCCAGGAGCCUCUGUCUGGUGCUUUUUCAUCCCACACACAUAAGAAGGCCCUACUAUGCACCACGCCUGGUGCUAGCACUGGGCCACUGUCUAGAGGGGGAGACAGAUGCUCAUUGCAAUGGCGACCGUUUCCAGGAAGGAGAGAUUCAGGGGUGUUGGAGGGAUCACCAGGUGAGGGGGUCGGAGGAGGUGGCCCUGAGUGAGCUGUAUCGGUGUCUGAAGUGGGGAGGAAGAGCGCUGUGGGCAGAGGGAAGAGGGUGGAGCUCGGUGGUGGGAGGAAGCGGAGCACGUGGCACAGAGGCGCUGAGCACUCCCAAGGCUGCAACCCCGGGGAAGGGCCAGACCAUAGCUAUAUUUAUUGCACAUGGUGCCGGAGAAUGGCUAUGAGCAAGACAGAGGUGGUCUCUGUUCUCAAGGCAGCUACAGAGGGACAGCCACUCCCCCAGCCCCCAACUAUGAGCUUCCCAGAACUGGCCUGAAGGUGCAGCUGCAAUGAUACGGGCUCACAUCCUGGCAUCCUCAUUUGCUAGCGUGAAAAUCGCAUUUCUCCAAACCUCGGUUUUCUCAUCUGAAAAACAGGCACAGCACCUAGUUUGCAGGACUGGGAAAGUUACAGAGGGUUAAUGGCAAUGCGGUUGGCCUUGGGCACUCCUUGUUCUGACCUCUGGAGUUCGGCUGCCCUGUGGUCUGGCCCUGGCUCUGUGGAGAGGCUUUCCCAGGCCGAGGGGCUCACCAGGCCUUCCCUAGUGAGGAGCUCUUUCUGCCAGAGCUGAGCUCAUGGGCAGGGCGGGGCGCAGAGGCCACAUAUCAGCCAGCUGUCCUCCCUUUCCUGGGAGCUGGUCCAGAGACGAGGGGCAGGGCGUCUGGUUUUCAUUGUGCGGCCGUCUCUAAUUCCUCUGGCAUCUGAGCUACUUUUCAGAAGGAGGGAGAUGCACUUAACUGGUUGUGACCCAGCUUGGUGCUGAGGAAGAAGCCCUGGGCCUGGGAUCAAGCAGAGUUGAACUCGAAGCCUGCCUCAGCCACUUACCUGCUGUGUGACGCGGGUAAGGCACUCCACAGCACUGAGUGUCAGGGGCCCCGAUUGGAAAAUGGCAAUGAUGAUUUCUGCCCUGGCUACUCCACAAAGUAGAAAUAGAUGCAAACGUGUUUCAUAAAACAUAAAAUAUGAAGCUGGGGUUCUCCUCUGUGUUAAUAGCAUGGAGGGUUGGGGUUCUGCCCAGUGCCCAAGCCUUGCACAGAAAUAGCCGCGCCCCUGCUGGUCCAUGUGUCCAAAAUGGUUAAAGCAACUUUGGGUCCAUGGAACAGAGGUGCAUUUCAGAAGCUGCUGGCUGGUGACCAUGAGGAGGGCCAGGGCUCAGAAAAGGAACGGCUCACUCUGGUUGGUAUGGUUAAUAAAAUAAUAGCUAACAUUUACCGACGGCUUAUGAAGGGGCAGGCACACUUCUGAGAACUUUCCAGUUGUUAAUCAAUCCUCAUAACAACCCUCUCAGAGAGGUUACUACUGUUCCCCCUGUGAGGACCUUUGAGGGAGGAAAGGCAUUUCUGGAGAGGGAAUUGGGUGUGCAAAGGCCUGGGGAGCCCCUCAUAUCCUGGGGGGCAGUGGGGGACCCGGCCUACAGCCAGGAGGGGCUGGCCUAUGGGGCCUUGAAAGUCGGCCAAGGGGUUUAGACUGGAUCCAGGCAGCAGGAGGAAUCCCUGGAGCCCCCUGCGUGACCUCAUUCUGGAGGAUGGGUGGGAUAGCGCUUCUGGGAGGGGCUGUGAUGGACUGGUGUGGGUGGAGAGUUCAGGGAAGGAGGUGGGAUUUCCUUAUUCUUGGGUCUUCAUCCUUGAGCACAGGCCCAGCUGCCACCCUAGUGGCCGCCACGGGCAGCCUCGAUGCUGAGAUGGGCUCAAAAGCCAGGCUGUGUGUGGUAUGGGGUCUCAGAGCCCAGGCAGGGCCAGGGUGGCACCAAAUGGCCUGCAGCUUAGUCCUGAUGCUGCUUGUGCCCUAGCCCUCACAGGUAGCUCUCCAGGGGCCAACUGUACCCCAUCCUGGGAGCUGACCCCAGGAAGGUCAGGGCAGUGCUGCCCGCUGGGUCCUAGAGGUGCCUGGAACAUCUUGCUCACACCAGCAGGACACUCAUGCCUUCCCCAUCUGAGCCCGCUGCAGGCAGACCCUGGCCAGGGGCUGGCUGAGUUGGGGAGGGGGCAGGAGGGCCGUAGCCAUGGUGGUUAGAGACAGGAGCAGUGUUGGUACCCUUUCUCUCAAAUAAAAUGAAGCCCCUUGCCAGGGAGGCCACUGUAGAGCUGGCACGAAGGAGGCUUCCUGUCUGAAGGAGCUGGUGCAGACACACCGGUGGGGCACCCGGCAGAACAACAGCAGAAGAUCUGCAAUCACACGAACUGGCUGCCUGUUCUCUACACGAGUCCAAAUGCUGUCAGGCUCAUUUCUCUGUUUGACAGUGAGCCAUGGACAAGCUGUGGGGCAAAAGCAAGAACUGUACGUGGUCUCCAUUUACAGAACUCCCAGGCUGGUGGAGGUGGCUUUUGGUACAACUCAGGUCUGAGGGCAAAAAUACACACUUUGGCUUUGCACAAAGGGGCUGACGACCCCAUACGUACCCUAGCACCUGGGCUGCCCAGCUAAAGAGGUCAAGUGGCCACAAGCUGAGCCUACGGUAAUCUUUAAUAACUAGAGUAAAUUUCCUUGUGAACUGGAGAAUUGGUAAGACAAGCUCAAAACCAGAUCUUCCAACUGGCCUCCCUAUCCCCCAGCUCCCUCCUUCCUUUUUUCUAUCUCCUUAGCGAUUGUUGUCUUCUCCAAAGGGUCUCCCCUUUCCAAACCCCAACAUGAUUCUGUUUUGCCUCCUGUUAUGGACUGAAUUCUGUCCUCUCCCAAAUUCACAUGCUGAAGCCCUAACCCCCAGUACCUCAGCAUGUGAGUGUAUUUGGAGACAGGGCCUUUGAAGAGGUGAUUAAGGUUAAAUGAGGUCAUUAGGGUGGACCUUAAUCUAAUAUUAUAAUUUACAUAUUAUAUAUAAUAUAUAUUAUAAAUUAUAAAUUAUAUAUCAUAUAUUUUUAUAUAAUAUAUAAUAUAUACAAUAUAUGAUAUAUAAUAUAUAGUAUAUAAUAUAUAACAAAUUAUAUAUAAUACAUAAAAUAUAUAAUAUUAUAUAUCAUAUAUUAUAUAUAAUAGUAUAUAUAUUUAUAUGAUAUAUAAUAUAUAUGUAUUAUAUAAAUGUUAUAUAUUUUAUUAUAUAUAAUAUAUAUGUAAAUUAUAAUAUAUAUUAUAUAUUGUAUAAAUUAUAAUAUAUAAUAAAUAUACCAUAUUAGAUAUAUUGUAACUUAUAUAUUAUAUAAUUUAUAUAUUAUAAUAUAUAAAUUAUAUCUAAUAUGGUGUCCUCAUAAGAAGAGGGGAUUAGGACAUAUAGAGACAGAUGGCAGGGCUGUGCACGUACAGAGGAAAGACCAUGUGAGGACACAGUGAGAAGAUGGCCAGCUAUUACACAAGCCAUGGAGAGAGGCCUCGGGAGACACCAACGUGGCCGACACCUUGAUCUUGGACUUUUAGCCUCCAGAGCUGAGAAAAUAUUAAUAAAUUUCUGUUGGUUAAGUCACUUAGUCUGUGGAAUCGUGUUGUGGCAAUCUUCAACUAAUACACCUCCUAAUAAAAUACUUGUUUCUAAAGGGGGAGUUGUUGCAUGUUGAGGUUUUUACUGUGCACCUCUGUCUGGGGUGAAUGCUGGCAAACUGCAGGAAGACUGCGCCAUAAACCCUAUCAUGGUUUGGCUUCUUCCUUGACCCACUCAGAAAAAGUUCAGUUCUUCUGAAAAACUCACGAGUACUCCACAAGGUGGCACAUAUCACCCUCCACACCAUCCUCAUCUCGAGGUCUCUGUAGUACACCUGAGACCAAGGGGGGAGCUCGUGUACAUUCUGGUCUUUGUCAACAGUGACUCCCAACCACACCCUUAUUCUUUCAAAAUAUAUUUUAUUAGCGGCACAUGGAAUGUCAAGUUAAGCAAAUUCUUUCCAGAGAGAAGGUGAGCCUGACAGACUAAAACGUUGAGCACGGAUGAUACAGCAGAAAUAACAUUUCCAGUGUAAUGAGAGAUAAAGAGGAAUACUGCCCACCGAGGAAAUGACUUUCUUCACCAUGCUGACCACACUGCACAGCGCCCGAUCCGGCUGGUGAGGAUGGGGAGGUGGGAAGAAUCUCAAAGCACUGGACAGGGUGAGGACUCAGGAAGUCACGGGGUCAGCCCUACAGCAUCAGCUCCUCUCUGUUGUUGGAGAGGCCCUGAGCCCCAUUACUCACUAUACGAGGACCAGAGUGUCUUUGGCAGGUGGAGGCUGGCUCACGGGAGAACACCAAGUGAGGGGGCUCCUCUGUGAACCCAAGAAACUUCAAGGAACCCCACAGCGUCUCCCUUAUGACCUCCCAUCUCCAGAUUAGGAAGCUAUGGAUUCCCAGAGGGUCCUUUGGAAGUAUCUAGAAAUGUCCAGGGUGAGUCUAGCCAGGUUCACCUUCAGGAUGCUUUCCCCAUGCCCUGUGGUUGAGACGGCUCCGAUGUCAUUGUCGGCAUAACCUCCAGCUCCUGCUCAAAAAGGGUGAUUGUUCUGAGCAGUAACAGUCAAGAAAUUCAAAUCCAUAUUAGAAGUCGGACGCUACAUGAAAGUUAAAUCGCGAAGGGUGCUCAAGUACCGACAAAGGUCAGGUUAGUAGCCAUGAUCUGCGGAGGCAAAGGUGGACUAGAAAGCGUCAUGUAGAUGCCCCAGAAUUUAGGAGGAUAAAGGGAGCCUCAGAGGGGCAGGCCUGACCUUUCACAGAGCAGCUACAGCAGGACAGCAUCUCCUUGGCCCCAAAGCACAGCCAUUCCUUUUUGCUCAAUGAAGCCACCCUCUCCCUGUCUCCUCCUCAUGCCCCACACACUAUGGAGGAAGAAACAGCAUGACUGCAUUAUAUGGAUCUCUAGCAAGGCCAUCAUGUUCCAGUGAUUUGGGGAAAAUGAUACCCACAACCUAACAUCCAUGCACACUGUCUAAUGGAGGGCAGUUAUAUUUGUUGAGGGUGGGCAUAAUUGGACCUGAGGGAACUAUUCUGGGCUAUCCACUUAAGUGGGGGUCUGGAGUGAAAGCUACUUUGAUAAGAUUUCUUCCUUAUUUUGGGCUUGGAUUAAGCAACCUUACAGCCUUCUCUGAGUCAUUCUUGUAUCUGUUCACACACAGCUACCAGCCUCAGAGUCCUUUAGCCUUGGAAGGAUUCGCCUUUACCCUCCCACAGUUGAUACAGAAGCACAGAAGAUUGACAUUUGCCUUACUUAUUGAUGCUGGACAUGGGGCAAGGACUCAGGAGUUGAGAUGCUGCAUUGGAUUGUCACAAGGCCCCAGAGGUUCUCAAAGGCAGAUAAUCCCUGGCUCUGGUUCUGGAGGGAGCUGACACUGGACAGCCAAUGAACUGCUGCAGUGGGAGGAGGCGCCUUUACUUUUUCUUAUAAGCUUCUGCUGGGGAAUUAACUGACCGGGUUCCAUGGUGUCAAAGUGCCCUAAUAUUUGGAAGCAGCCAAGUCUUUGCUUACUUUUCAGUUACUCUAGGACCACAGAAGGCCAGGUGUCUCCAAGGGUGGUCCUGGCACAGGCAUCGGGCGUGUGAAGCUGUCCUCCCCGCCACAUGCACUUCUCAGGACAAGUGCAUUGCCUGAGGUGACCACUGCUGAGCCUAGUACCGUCCCCCAUGACUGUCCAGGCAGGGGCCUGGCCAGUGGCAGUGCUCCUUGGGGAGGCUCCUCAGAAGGCCAGGCAGAGCACACCUGGUGCUCACAGCUGGACAGAGAGUUCUGAGAAUUUAGCUUAUGCCUUUUCUUGUCAAGAUUUACCACUGUAACUCAAGCUUAAAAUUAAUUUCUAGGAUCUAACCUGGAGUGGCCCUGUGGCCUGGUCUGAACGCAGCUGAAGCAAGCUGCACUACUGACCAGGCACAGUUUGGUGGGAUUUUUGCCAAGGAGAAAGAAAGGUAGACUACUUCACAUCUCUUGGGUGAUAUACCAAGGAGAAGAGGAGUUACCAAGCCUCUACUCUUUUUAAGGAAGCUUCCAGUGUCUCUGAGUUCAUGACAGAAAAAGGGUAUCAAGAAUUGUCGAGAGUGUAGAUUAUUACUAAAGACUAGAGCAACACAUUAAAAAGGGAAGGUAGGGCUAGUUUUCCUCUAAAAGAAUAAGCUGCUCUUUAGGGCAGAUGGAACAAUUUAGCUGCUUCUCAAAACUUCAGUCACCUGUGGGGGUUCAUGAGGAUUCCUGCAUGACAAGUGUGAAAGUCUGCACGGAGUGAAACAUACAGCCCCCCAGCCCUGCCUCUCACCCACUCCUGGGAAUGAGAUGGCGUGCUUCC